CACGUUUUCCUCUCCCAUCUGUCCCUAUCACCUCCCCCGCCUCUCUUCAAUAAUCUCUCGACCGUCGUCGCAGAGCCGGCACCUAACUAGCCCACCCCUACCUCACGUGUGGGCAGAGCCGGCGCGCGCCUACCGUAGGUCCGGUGGCCUUGAGCUCCACCGUCACCAAUAGGGGCGGCAAUGACGGAGGGCUGACGGGAUCUGGUGGCCUGAGCACAAUGGUACCAUCAGUAGAGCUCGGCCAUCAGAUCCGGUGUAGGCUCAUCUCUGGCCGGCAGCCACGCAGAUUCGGUUGAUCCCUCUCUUGGAACCCCGGCUGGUUGCUCUCCUCAUUUCUUUCUCGUUUUCUACAUCUUUGUUCAGGUUGUACGAACUGCUCGCAGCUCACAUGGUAGCUGACCUCGAGCUUGACUAGUGAGCGGAGUUGGACUGCGCAAAGUCGGCAUCCCUGCAUUGACGACUUGGACGUCCGUCGUCGUCGAGCUCCAGCUGACUUCAUCUUCCUGUGUGUUGAGCUAGACGAUGUCGACUGCACACCUGCCAACAGUGGCCUCAUCGACGGAGCCAUCAUGGUAACUGAUCACGAAGUAUGGUGAAAUUGUAGCAAGUUGAUGUCUUUUGCAGAAGCGUAUUUCUAAAGCUUAGUCUGAAGACUUCACAAUCUUAUUUUGUUUCUCUAGAUAAUAUAUACAAUGUAACUAGAAGCUAGUUAUAUUCUCAUUUUACUUGUUCCAUUGUCUCCGAAUUUCCAAUGUAUUAAUGCAUUUUUCUA